rnacentral:lncRNA from 1 species
UUUGGUAUAUUGAUGGUUCAGUGUUACUAACUUCAAUUAUUUUCUUUUAUUAAAUUAGAGGUUUAUUAAAAAAAGAAAAAGAAAAAAACAACCCUUGAAGGCACAAAGAAGCAGACUAAGGGUGCAAAUCUCGAAAAGAGAAGAAAAAACUAAGGAACAAAAAACAACUAAUAUCGAAACUCAGGAUAAUCAUCCAUUUCAUCCGACCAACGCCCAUGGACAACAUUAUUCAUUGCAAUCAUACUGGGCCUAUUGGAAAGGUCAAUCGCAAAC